rnacentral:miRNA from 1 species
UCAUUUUGCGUGCAAUGAUCUG